UUAAAGUGAAGAGUUUGAUCAUGGCUCAGAUUGAACGUUGGCGGCAGGUCUCAUACAUGCAAGUCGAACGAGAAAGGUCCUUCGGGGCCGAGUAAAGUGGCGGACGGGUGAGUAACGCGUAGGAAUCUACCUAGUAGUGGGGGACAACCCGAGGAAACUCGGGCUAAUACCGCAUACGACCUAGGGGUGAAAGCGGGGGAUUUUCGAACCUCGCGCUAUUAGAGGAGCCUGCGUUGGAUUAGCUUGUUGGUGGGGUAACGGCCUACCAAGGCGACGAUCCAUAGCUGGUCUGAGAGGACGAUCAGCCACACUGGAACUGAGACACGGUCCAGACUCCUACGGGAGGCAGCAGUAAAGAAUAUUGCGCAAUGGGCGAAAGCCUGACGCAGCCAUGCCGCGUGUGUGAAGAAGGCCUUAGGGUUGUAAAGCACUUUCAGUGGCGAAGAAAAGUGAGGGGUUAAUACCCCCGCUCUUUGACGUUAACCACAGAAGAAGGUCCGGCUAACUCCGUGCCAGCAGCCGCGGUAAUACGGAGGGACCGAACGUUAAUCGGAAUUACUGGGCGUAAAGCGCACGUAGGCGGUUCGUUAAGUGGGAUGUGAAAGCCCUAGGCUCAACCUAGGAAUUGCAUCUCAAACUGACGGGCUAGAGUGUAGUAGAGGGAGGUGGAAUUUCCUGUGUAGCGGUGAAAUGCGUAGAUAUAGGAAGGAACACCAGUGGCGAAGGCGGCCUCCUGGACUAACACUGACGCUGAGGUGCGAAAGCGUGGGGAGCAAACAGGAUUAGAUACCCUGGUAGUCCACGCCGUAAACGAUGAGAACUAGCCGUUGGGCCCCAUUGGGGCUUGGUGGCGCAGCUAACGCGUUAAGUUCUCCGCCUGGGGAGUACGGCCGCAAGGCUAAAACUCAAAUGAAUUGACGGGGGCCCGCACAAGCGGUGGAGCAUGUUCUUUAAUUCGAUGCAACGCGAAGAACCUUACCACCCCUUGACAUCCACGGAACUUUCUAGAGAUAGAUUGGUGCCUUCGGGAACCGUGUGACAGGUGCUGCAUGGCUGUCGUCAGCUCGUGUCGUGAGAUGUUGGGUUAAGUCCCGUAACGAGCGCAACCCCUAUCCUUAUUUGCCAGCGGAUUAUGCCGGGAACUCUAAGGAGACUGCCGGUGACAAACCGGAGGAAGGCGGGGAUGAGGUCAAGUCAUCAUGGCCCUCAUGGGGUGGGCUAGAAACGUGCUACAAUGGGAAGUACAAAGGGCUGCAAACCCGCGAGGGUAAGCGAAUCCCAAAAAACUUCUCGUAGUCCGGAUAGGAGUCUGCAACUCGACUCCUUGAAGUCGGAAUCGCUAGUAAUCGCGAAUCAGAAUGUCGCGGUGAAUACGUUCCCGGGCCUUGUACACACCGCCCGUCACAUCAUGGAAGUGGGUUGCACCAGAAGUAGCUAGUCUAACCUUCGGGAGGACGGCUACCACGGUGUGGUUCAUGACUAGGAUGAAGUCGUAACAAGGUAGCCGUAGGGGAACCUGCGGCUGGAUCACCUCCUUAACC
rnacentral:rRNA from 1 species